UAGAGUUUGAUCCUGGCUCAGAUUGAACGCUGGCGGCAUGCCUUACACAUGCAAGUCGAACGGUAACAGGUCUUCGGAUGCUGAUGAGUGGCGAACGGGUGAGUAAUGCAUCGGAACGUACCCGGUAGUGGGGGAUAACUACCCGAAAGGGUGGCUAAUACCGCAUAUACUGUGCGCAGGAAAGCAGGGGACCUUCGGGCCUUGUGCUACCGGAGCGGCCGAUGUCAGAUUAGGUAGUUGGUGGGGUAACGGCCUACCAAGCCUGCGAUCUGUAGCGGGUCUGAGAGGAUGAUCCGCCACACUGGGACUGAGACACGGCCCAGACUCCUACGGGAGGCAGCAGUGGGGAAUUUUGGACAAUGGGCGCAAGCCUGAUCCAGCCAUGCCGCGUGAGUGAAGAAGGCCUUCGGGUUGUAAAGCUCUUUCGGACGGAAAGAAAUCGCGCAGGCUAAUACCCUGCGCGGAUGACGGUACCGUCAUAAGAAGCACCGGCUAACUACGUGCCAGCAGCCGCGGUAAUACGUAGGGUGCGAGCGUUAAUCGGAAUUACUGGGCGUAAAGCGUGCGCAGGCGGUUGAUUAAGACAGGCGUGAAAUCCCCGGGCUUAACCUGGGAACUGCGCUUGUGACUGGUCAGCUAGAGUACGGCAGAGGGGGGUGGAAUUCCACGUGUAGCAGUGAAAUGCGUAGAGAUGUGGAGGAACACCGAUGGCGAAGGCAGCCCCCUGGGCCGAUACUGACGCUCAUGCACGAAAGCGUGGGUAGCAAACAGGAUUAGAUACCCUGGUAGUCCACGCCCUAAACGAUGUCAACUAGUUGUUGGGAGGGUAAAACCUUUUAGUAACGUAGCUAACGCGUGAAGUUGACCGCCUGGGGAGUACGGCCGCAAGGCUAAAACUCAAAGGAAUUGACGGGGACCCGCACAAGCGGUGGAUGAUGUGGAUUAAUUCGAUGCAACGCGAAAAACCUUACCUACCCUUGACAUGUCAGAAAUCCCUGAGAGAUUAGGGAGUGCCGCAAGGAAUCUGAACACAGGUGCUGCAUGGCUGUCGUCAGCUCGUGUCGUGAGAUGUUGGGUUAAGUCCCGCAACGAGCGCAACCCUUGUCGUUAAUUGCCAUCAUUAAGUUGGGCACUUUAACGAGACUGCCGGUGACAAACCGGAGGAAGGUGGGGAUGACGUCAAGUCCUCAUGGCCCUUAUGGGUAGGGCUUCACACGUCAUACAAUGGUCGGUACAGAGGGUUGCCAAGCCGCGAGGUGGAGCCAAUCCCAGAAAGCCGAUCGUAGUCCGGAUCGUAGGCUGCAACUCGCCUGCGUGAAGUCGGAAUCGCUAGUAAUCGCAGAUCAGCAUGCUGCGGUGAAUACGUUCCCGGGUCUUGCACACACCGCCCGU
rnacentral:rRNA from 1 species